rnacentral:snRNA from 1 species
GUGCUCACCUUGGCAGCACAUACACUAAAGUAGGAACCAUAGGAGACUAGCCUGGCCACUGUUCAAGGAUCACGUGCAAAUUCAUGAAGCAUUCCAUGAAAAU